UCUUUACGGUUCUGUCCCCUAGGCCCCUUCCUUCCAUAAGACCUACUCAGGACUCCACUGGGCUGCUGACUACUCACCCUCCCCUCAGGUCAUCUCCUGACCCGUACACAGUUAUGUCCACCCAGGGUCUGCUUGGACACCUGUGCCUGAUGUUCACCAGGGGCCAGAUGUCGUCCUCAGGCCUGAUGUCCACCUAGGGCCUGAUGACUGCCUUGGCCUAUGUCCCUCUGGGGGCCUUGUGUUCACCUGGGGACUGUAUCCAGCUGGGGCCUGAUGGCCUACUGGGUCUUGUUGUUCACCUAAGGCCUUGUGUCCACCUGGGGACUGGUGAUCACCUGGGGCCUGGGUGUCCACCUGAGGCCAGAGGUGCACCUAAGGCCUGAGUUUUCACCUGGGCCUGAUGAUCACCUGGGGACUGGGUGUGUGCCUUGGGUCUUUUCCCUUUUCCUGAACAGGGCUUGCAGUUUCCAAACCAGACACAAUCUCCCAGUUGGAGAAAGAAAAAGGAUCCUAGAUGAUAGUGAGACAAAUUUCAGGAAACUCCAUCCAAAUAAGUAAAUGAGAAUGAGGACAGGAUUCAUUGCAUGGUGGCAUGUGCCUGCAGUCCCAGCUACUCAAGAGGCUGAGGUGGGAGGAUCGCUUGAACUCAGGAGUUGAAGGCUGCAGUGGGUGAGGAUCACAACACUGAAUUCCAGCUGAGGUGACAGAAUGAGACCCUGUCUCUCUAAAAAACAAGCAAGCAAACAAACCAAAAACCACAGACAAACCAGACCCCUCUUAGCAGAAUACUUCCAUGAGGUAAUAAAAGGUUUAAUUUAUUUCAGAAGUUUCUAGAUUUUAUUGUCUCUAUUUAGCCAAAGCCACAAGAAAAGUCAAAUUCAUAUCUUUAAAUGCUUUCAUUAUCAAUCAAGAAAGAAGAAAGUGAAACGAACAAACAAUUUUACUCAAGAAACUAGUGAGAAAUCAAAGAAAUGUCCAAGAAGUAGGAGACAAGAAUUAAUCAAAACAGAUUAACAGUGGAAUAAAUAAAUGAAUCCAACUGGUUCUUUGUAAUGGAAUGUAGAAAGACAUACUCUAUUCUUCUGGAUAGGAAGAUGAAAUAUCAUAAUCAUAUCAAUGCAAGUUUUAUGCAUGCUCAAACAUGUAUAAACUAAGAAAAAAUCUGAAAGGACAGACAGCAAAAUGUUUGCAGUUUUUUUCCUCCAAGUGGUAAGAUUAAAGAACACAGACAAAAAUAGAAACUCCUCACAUGACCCACCACGAAGCCCAUCAGAUGGCAGAAUGCAGAAUCAGGUUGCAAUGGACUGAUCUUAAAACAGAUGAAGCAGUGGAGAAAAUCUUCCUGGAGCUGAUGGUAUAAUUUGCUUCUUGAAACAAUGACAGUCCAUGAAAUAAGGUGGGGAAGAUGUUUUGAACCUCUCUCAGCAGCAGAUCCCUAAAUCACAGACCCAGAACUUGGAGGAAACAGGAAACAGGAGGCCAUCUCUGCACCUCUCCAGCACUGCUCUGGUUGGUGGGCAGAAUAUCAUACAAUCAUCACGAUUCUUAUAUCAAAAACCAAAUUCUAGACUGAUUAAAUAAUUAUUUUUUUAAAUGAGAAAAGUUAUCGUUUAUUUGAUCUUGGGCUAGGGAAGAUAUUUCCAAGCAAAAAGGGUAAAAAGAAGGAAAAAGAAAUGAUUAACAGAUUGGAAGGCAAUAACAAUAUAAUAUCAAGUGCUGGCAAGAGCUCAGAGAAGUGUGUGUUCUCAUGACUGCUGGAACAAAUUGGUAUAAUAUUUCUGAAGGGCAAUCUGGCUGAAUAUGUUAGAAGUCUUUAAAAUAUUUAUACUCUGACUCAGUAAUUCAACAUCUAGAAAUUUUUCCUAAGUAAGUAAUAAGAAAGAGUUGAAAAAAGUAUUUGAAUAUUGAAAGACUGGAAAGAACAUAAAGGUUCAAUAAUACAUAUAUGUUCAACAACAGGGGACUAGUAAAUAUGAAUUAUUUAUAUGAUAAAAUACUAUCUAACCUUAAAAUAAUGUUUUAAAUAAUAUUUAAUGAUGAGAAUAUGCUGAGAAAAGUUUAAUCAUUUUAAAAAAGUUACAUGCAAAAUUAAAGUUAAUAACAUGUACAAGAUUAUUCUAAUUUUUUUUUUUUUUGAGAUGCAGUCUC